rnacentral:rRNA from 1 species
AUUGAACGCUGGCGGCAGGCCUAACACAUGCAAGUCGAGCGAGCGGCGGACGGGUGAGUAAUGUAUGGGAACUGCCCGAUUGAGGGGGAUAACUACUGGAAACGGUAGCUAAUACCGCCUACCGUCAGAUCGCCCAUAUGGGAUUAGCUAGUAGGUAAGGUAAUGGCUUACCUAGGCGACGAUCCCUAGCUGGUCUGAGAGGAUGAUCAGCCACACUGGCACUGAGACACGGCCCAGACUCCUACGGAGGCAGCAGUGGGGAAUAUUGCACAAUGGGCGCAAGCCUGAUGCAGCCAGGCCGCGUGUGUGAAGAAGGCCCUCGGGUUGUAAAGUACUUUCAGCCGGGAGGCGUUACCGACAGAAGAAGCACCGGCUAACUCCGUGCCAGCAGCCGCGGUAAUAC